GAUGAACGCUGGCGGCGUGCCUAAUACAUGCAAGUCGAGCGAACAGACGAGGAGCUUGCUCCUCUGACGUUAGCGGCGGACGGGUGAGUAACACGUGGAUAACCUACCUAUAAGACUGGGAUAACUUCGGGAAACCGGAGCUAAUACCGGAUAAUAUAUUGAACCGCAUGGUUCAAUAGUGAAAGACGGUUUUGCUGUCACUUAUAGAUGGAUCCGCGCCGCAUUAGCUAGUUGGUAAGGUAACGGCUUACCAAGGCAACGAUGCGUAGCCGACCUCAGAGGGUGAUCGGCCACACUGGAGCUGAGACACGGUCCAGACUCCUACGGGAGGCAGCAGUAGGGAAUCUUCCGCAAUGGGCGAAAGCCUGACGGAGCAACGCCGCGUGAGUGAUGACGGUCUUCGGAUCGUAAAACUCUGUUAUUAGGGAAGAACAAAUGUGUAAGUAACUAUGCACGUCUUGACGGUACCUAAUCAGAAAGCCACGGCUAACUACGUG
rnacentral:rRNA from 1 species